CCGCGUGGGCGAUGCCCUUCAUCGACGCGGGCGGCGUGAGCACGGCGAGUUCGGUCGCGAGCUCGUCGGGGUGCAGCACCCCGCGCGCGGA
rnacentral:tRNA from 1 species